GGACUACUAGGGUAUCUAAUCCUUUUUGCUCCCCACGCUUUCGUGCCUCAGUGUCAGGGUCGUCCCAGUUCACUGCCUUCGCUUUUGGUGUUCCCGACCAUAUCAACGGAUUUCACCCCUCCUUGGUCGGUUCCGUGAACCUCUAACGCCCUCAAGCAUGGCAGUAUUCACAACAGUUCAAAGGUUGAGCCGAUGAAAUUUAAUUAUGAACUUACCACGCCACCUACGCACCCUUUACGCCCAAUAAAUCCGGGUAACGCUCGGGGUCUCUGUAUUACCGCGGCUGCUGGCAC
rnacentral:rRNA from 1 species